AUGGCUCAGGAUGAACGCUGGCGGCGUGCCUAACACAUGCAAGUCGAACGGGGCUAUCAAGUGAUGUUUCGGACUGAGCUUUUAGUUAGUGGCGGACGGGUGAGUAACGCGUGGACAACCUGCCUCUCACUGGGGGAUAGCAGCUGGAAACGGCUGGUAAUACCGCAUGCGUUCAAUGUGCCGCAUGACACAUUGAAGAAAGAUUUAUCGGUGAGAGAUGGGUCCGCGUCUGAUUAGCCAGUUGGCGGGUAACGGCCCACCAAAGCGACGAUCAGUAGCCGGCCUGAGAGGGCGGACGGCCACAUUGGGACUGAGACACGGCCCAGACUCCUACGGGAGGCGGCAGUGGGGGAUAUUGCACAAUGGGCGCAAGCCUGAUGCAGCGAACCGCCGCGUGAGUGAAGAAGUAUUUCGGUAUGUAAAGCUCUAUCAGCAGGGAAGAAAGGCCCGCAAGGGAGAUGACGGUACCUGACUAAGAAGCCCCGGCUAACUACGUGCCAGCCGCCGC
rnacentral:rRNA from 1 species